rnacentral:lncRNA from 1 species
GUUGAUCCAAAAACUCACUGACCACGAGUCCUGGAUUUCUAACAUAGUUAAAAGUUGUUACAUGUAGAUACGACUUGAUUUUUCGUUUCAGUUAUGCCUAUCUCUCUGUUUCUCUGCCAUGUAACACAGAAUGUAAGUAAUAAUCGGGCGACAUUCAAAUCAAACAUAUACCAAAAAGAGUAUAUAAGCCCUUAGAUUCUUUUGCAGUACGUAAAUAGAUAUCCAUUGUCUCUUUAAUAAUGCAUAUCAGAACCCCAAGGAGCAGAUAGUAACACGAACAGUACAUUUGAAAGUCCGUCUAACUUAAGGACAUAAUCAAGACCAACAUUUUCUUUUAGUUAACGGCUCACAAGACUUGUAUGAACAAAUACAAAAGGUUUUUUUUUACCAUUAAUGGUCAAAACAUUUACAUCUAGUACAAGACUUUGACAAGCAUAACUCGGGGGCUUUAAUAUGGAAUAUUUUAGCUCACCUUUUAAUCUUUAAUGUAAAUUAUAUUCUAAAAUAGUAGAAGUCCAUGUACUAAUAAACAUAAAUUACUAGUCCCAAUGAGUAAUGCAAGCUCAAGUAGAACUCAAAAUAACCGAUAGCGAUAAUUCAAAAUGGCAAAUCCCCUUAGAAAUACAUCUGGAAGAACAAAUUCUUUUCCUUCCAAAUGCAUAUCUAAUACUAUUUUUUUCUUUUAAAAAAUAAAUUAGAGAUACAUGUAGGAGAGAUCCAUUAUGGUGGGAUGGACCGUUCUCGAAUUAUGGCCGGCAUUUCUUUCAAUCAGCGGAAGACUCACGAAUACUGGGAGGGCACGACUUCAAGGGAUGGACUCGAUCGAACGGCCAACCACUUGCUAUUUUUGUAGGAGAUGAAAUUCAAAAGACCAUUAUUAGCGUGUAGUAGAUUGGCCCGAGUGCGUAAUAGGCCAGUCGAGAAGAAAUAAAAUCAAUAGAUUGAACGGUAGAUAAAGGAUCAGAGGAUGAGAGGGGUAGAUCUACCCAAUAUGGACCGAUAACGGAUGGAGGAGCAUUGUAAUCCUCAAGGCUAUACUAUUCAUUUAUCUAGAAAGUAUGAAGAAGGUGAACCAUCAAAAACUUUAUAACAAACCAAAUACCAGCAUAGGAGCAACCAAAGAAAAAAAGAAAUAGUCUCUUGAAUAAAUUUAACUUGGUUAAUCAGUAUAUAAAAGGAUGGAGACACAAGUCAUUUAAAAGAUAAUAGAACCAACAUGGUGCCUAGAUUUUCUGUCAAUGAUUUAUUAUCGUUUGUAGAAGCAGUCCUAUCAACUCUUAUUUCAUAGGCUCUGGUGUUGGAAGUUUGAUAAGAAACAAAGACAUUAUGCACAUGAAAAAGAUGCAGCAAAUUUAGGAAGAGAUCAAAAGUUCACAUUAGGAAAUUAAUAAAAAUGGCUUUCAAUUUGGGAAAGAAACGAAGUAUAUCUAAGUAUUUGAUGAGAACUCCCCUUAAAAAUAUAUUACAACGUAAAAUAAUUUAAUAACUUACAAAUUUCAAUCAGGCUCUAUGUAAAAACAAUCAAGUAGACUUUAUAAAGCAGUUCAAGUAGCAGUUCUCUGUAAUUCUUGUUAGCUCCCAUCCGAGCUCGCGUCUUUUUUAGAUCUGAAUAACCGAGAACUUCUUGUUGCGUUAGCUGAUGUUUGAUUUGUCUUCUCUCUUCCUCCAAAAGACAUAUCAACUGCAACAAACUUUU